rnacentral:lncRNA from 1 species
AUAAAAUUAAUCAAAAGAAAUGAAGUAGAACAGUAGAGGUGAAUGAGAAAAAGAGAAGAUAAGAGAAAUAUUAUUCUAUUGUUUCAAGUCUUCUCUUAAUUUCUCAUUAAUGUUUUCAUCAAUAAGCUCUUCAUAUCUUAUUUAAUUUACAUCGUGGUGUUGAACCUUAUAUGUACAUUAAUUGCAGUCCUCAGUUGCAAUAAUUUUUCCACCCUCAUCGUGUUUUUCAUUCUCUUCAUCAUUUUUCUUUUAAUUUAGAGAAACAUUCUCUUGAAUUAAAAUCGAUCAAUGUUGUGACCCAUACACAUGCAAUGACUACCAAACCAAGAUAAGUUCUCAUACACUAGUUGCACACAAAAUAUUAAAAAUCCUCUCUCUCCACUACUAUCAUGUCGUGGAGUGGCUCGUCAUCUAUAAAUCAAGUAGGGUGCAAGCAAAAUGCCCUUGUUUCUCUAUUCUUCAGGAGUUUUAUCAAUGACUUGAUUUAUCAUCUCUUUGACAAUAUUUGUAUUUUCACUCUAGGUAUUGUCAUGUGAAUAAGAAAUUGAAUUUUUUAAUUAUUAUUUGGAAUUUUAAAAGUUUUCAAAAAGUUAUAAGAUUUGAAUUUAAUUUUUCCUUAAGAAACUAUUAAAAAAAAGUUUAAAUUAGGGUUAUUUUAUUAUUAAAUUUUCGUUUUUGAUUUUUAUAAAGUAUCUUAUAUAAUUUUUACUACAUAUAUGCAACGCAAUGAAAACUACAUUUUAAACAAACUAUAAAUAACAAAUCUUCUAUAUAUACUAUUUCUUACAGUCUUGUUGAUUUUUAAAUAAUAUUUUUGUUUAAAUUUUUUUAAAUUUUAAAUAUUUUUAUAGAGAUAUUUAUGUGAGUGUUAUAGAAAAUUAUUUUAAUAAUAUUUGUGUUUGUUUUAGAAUUUUUUUAAAAUGAUUUUUUAAGAAUUACAUAUAUCUGGUAUAGAAAUAAUUGUUUUAAAAAAACAUCAACUAAAAAUUGAUUAACUUUAUUCUCAAUAAAGUUAUUCUAUUCCUUUUUUAUUAAUUUUCCAAAACAACUAAAAUUGAUAUUAUAUUGAAUAAGUUUGAAUGAAUUCUUUAUUGAGAAUUAAUUUUUAUUGUAAAUUAUAUGAUUUUAUUAUAUUAAAAUAUUUUUAAAAGAAUAUUUGAAAAAUAAAAAGGUAUAAAUUCCUUAUUGAAAGAUUUUGUUUAACUUUAUAAAAGACAUAUUCUUUAAUUAACAUCAAGAUUCGAGUUUAACCGUUGGUCGCAUCAUAAUUUUGAGUAAGAUAAAAUCUAAACCACAAAUUUCAAUUAUUCUUAUCUAAGGGCUAUAAUUGAAAUCAAGAUUCGAGUUUAACCGUUGGUCGCAUCAUAAUUUUGAGUAAGAUAAAAUCUAAACCACAAAUUUCAAUUAUUCUUAUCUAAGGGCUAUAAUUGAUUUUUCUCGUUUCUCAAAAUAACCAUGUGUUCUAACUUGAUUUGCAUUUAUAUUUGAACUGGAUAGGAUGAUUAUUCACUUUAUCUAGAAAGUACAAAUUUUCUUAUAUCAAGGAUAGUAGGAAAUAUUUAAUAUCAAUAUUUUGAUAUAUUAUUAAUAAAUAUUCCUAAUGUACUUUUAACUAAUUCAUAAAUAUUUAAGAAAUAUUAGCUAUAAAUUAAGGUCUAAUGUUAAACUUUUUCUCACUGAGUCUUUUGUAAGAGUUGAAAAUUUCAAAAUAAUCAAAAAGAUAUUUGAGUUUCGGAAAAGAAAAAAUUUGAAAAAGAAAUGGCAGGUUCUCUAGUGAUAGUUUUUGCUCUAAUGAUGUUGAUGAUUUUGUUCGUUGUUACACAAGUCGAAUGCUUAUCAGAGCCUUUUUGUGAAAUAAAGUGUGAUGCAUUAUGUAUCGGACAACGUCUAAAUGAGGAUUUUGAUAAGUGUGUAAAACAUUGUAGAGAGACAAAAUGCUAACAAAUAUCUUGCGAUGAUUAAUAUCAUAAGCCGUGGUAUUUUUUAACACUCUCGUCGUCUUUUAUUUUGUCACGUUUUUAACAAAAGAAAUAUAUUUAUUAAUUUAAUUAUUUUGUUUUUACUCUUUAGGUUCCUCGGCGCGCGGUGCAUGAAUAAAUUGUUUCAAGCAAGGAUGUUGCAACAUAAAUAGAUAUAUAACAUGUAUCUUAUGCAAGGCUCUACUUAAUAAAUGUCCUUGUCAAAUUGGCAUUGUCUCAAAUUUUAAUAAAUAUAUUCUACUAUAUAAAUUUUUGUUUUUUAAUUUUCAAUUUUUUCAUUUAUUUUCUAUUUUUUUGUCUUUUUUAUAUGAUUGUAGACUCAUAAAUUUGGCCGCAUGCUUAUGAUUGUUAUUAGGUCUUGGCCAAUUUGGAAAUUUGAUUUGGCAAAAAAUUAGACGAACUGAUAUUGUAUUAAUGACUUUUCAAUUAUUAGGUAUUGAGUACUUACCAAGCUCUAAAAUUUUAAACAUGACACCUAUUAUGCACAAACCUUUUUGUCGGGAUUUAAUCGUAUAAUGGAUAUUCAUUAAACUUUACUAUGACGAUAUUAAACAAAUUUUUAAAUAAUCAAUACAUUUGACAUCAUAACGAAACUUAAAAAGAAACUUAUUUUAGAAUCUUAAACCGCACAACUUAUGAAAUCUAAAGAACUAAACAUUCCUUUGAACUUUUUUCGUUUAUAAAUUUUUCAUUAACUACAUCUAAAACAAUCAAUUUUACAUUGAAUUAUCUACAAUAUUAGUUUUUAACAAUAGUAAAAAAUUGUUUUCAUUAUAAAAUUAAUCAAAAGAAAUGAAGUAGAACAGUAGAGGUGAAUGAGAAAAAGAGAAGAUAAGAGAAAUAUUAUUCUAUUGUUUCAAGUCUUCUCUUAAUUUCUCAUUAAUGUUUUCAUCAAUAAGCUCUUCAUAUCUUAUUUAAUUUACAUCGUGGUGUUGAACCUUAUAUGUACAUUAAUUGCAGUCCUCAGUUGCAAUAAUUUUUCCACCCUCAUCGUGUUUUUCAUUCUCUUCAUCAUUUUUCUUUUAAUUUAGAGAAACAUUCUCUUGAAUUAAAAUCGAUCAAUGUUGUGACCCAUACACAUGCAAUGACUACCAAACCAAGAUAAGUUCUCAUACACUAGUUGCACACAAAAUAUUAAAAAUCCUCUCUCUCCACUACUAUCAUGUCGUGGAGUGGCUCGUCAUCUAUAAAUCAAGUAGGGUGCAAGCAAAAUGCCCUUGUUUCUCUAUUCUUCAGGAGUUUUAUCAAUGACUUGAUUUAUCAUCUCUUUGACAAUAUUUGUAUUUUCACUCUAGGUAUUGUCAUGUGAAUAAGAAAUUGAAUUUUUUAAUUAUUAUUUGGAAUUUUAAAAGUUUUCAAAAAGUUAUAAGAUUUGAAUUUAAUUUUUCCUUAAGAAACUAUUAAAAAAAAGUUUAAAUUAGGGUUAUUUUAUUAUUAAAUUUUCGUUUUUGAUUUUUAUAAAGUAUCUUAUAUAAUUUUUACUACAUAUAUGCAACGCAAUGAAAACUACAUUUUAAACAAACUAUAAAUAACAAAUCUUCUAUAUAUACUAUUUCUUACAGUCUUGUUGAUUUUUAAAUAAUAUUUUUGUUUAAAUUUUUUUAAAUUUUAAAUAUUUUUAUAGAGAUAUUUAUGUGAGUGUUAUAGAAAAUUAUUUUAAUAAUAUUUGUGUUUGUUUUAGAAUUUCUUUUAAAUGAUUUUUUAAGAAUUACAUAUAUCUGGUAUAGAAAUAAUUGUUUUAAAAAAACAUCAACUAAAAAAUAGUUUAACUUUAUUCUCACUAAAGUUAUUCUAUUCCUUUUUUUUUAAUUUUCCAAAAUAACUAAAAUUGUUAUUAUAUUGAAUAAGUUUGAAUGAAUUCUUUAUUGAGAAUUACUUUUCUUUUUGUAAAUUAUAUGAUUUUAUUAUAUUAAAAUAUUUUUAAAAGAAUAUUUGAAAAAUAAAAAGGUAUAGAUUCCUUAUUGAAAGAUUUUGUUUAAUUUUAUAAAAGACAUAUUCUUUAAUUAACAUCAACAUUCGAGUUUAACCGUUGGUCGCAUCAUAAUUUUGACUAAGAAAAAAUCUAAACCACAAAUUUCAAUUAAUCUUAUCUAAGGGCUAUAAUUGAUUUUUCUCGUUUCUCAAAAUAACCAUGUGUUCUGACUUGAUUUGCAUUUAUAUUUGAACUGGAUAGGAUGAUUAUUCACUUUAUCUAGAAAGUACAAAUUUUCUUAUAUCAAGGAUAGUAGGAAAUAUUUAAUAUCAAUAUUUUGAUAGAUUAUUAAUAAAUAUUCCUAAUGUACUUUUAACUAAUGCAUAAAUAUUUAAGAAAUAAUAGCUAUAAAUUAAGAUCUAAUGUUAAACUUUUUCUCAGUGAGUCUUUUGUAAGAGUUGAAAUUUUCAAAAUAAUCAAAAAGAUAUUUGAGUUUUGGAAAAGAAAAAAUUUGAAAAAGAAAUUGCAGGUUCUCUAGUGAUAGUUUUUGCUCUGAUGAUGUUGAUGAUUUUGUUCGUUGUUAUACAAGUCGAAUGCUUAUCAGAGCCUUUUUGUGAAAUAAAGUGUGAUGCAUUAUGUAUCGGACAACGUCUAAAUGAGGAUUUUGAUAAGUGUGUNCCACCCUCAUCGUGUUUUUCAUUCUCUUCAUCAUUUUUCUUUUAAUUUAGAGAAACAUUCUCUUGAAUUAAAAUCGAUCAAUGUUGUGACCCAUACACAUGCAAUGACUACCAAACCAAGAUAAGUUAUAACAUUUGAAUUUAAUUUUCCAUAAGAAACUAUGAAAAAAUAAUUUAAAUUAGGGUUAUUUUAUUAUUAAAUUUCCGUUUUUGAUUUUUAUAAAGUAUCUUAUAUAAUUUUACUACAUAUAUGCAACGCCGCAAAAACUACAUUUUAAACAAACUAUAAAUAACAAAUCUUCUAUAUAUACUAUUUCUUACUAUUUCUUAUAAAUCUUCUUAUAUAAUUGAUUUUUCUCGUUUCUCAAAAUAACCAUGUGUUCUAACUUGAUUUGCAUUUAUAUUAGAACUGGGUACGAUAUUCACUUUAUCUAAAAAGUACAAAUUUUCUUAUAUCAAGGAUAGUAGGAAAUAUUUAAUAUCAAUAUUUUGAUAUAUUAUUAAUAAAUAUUCCUAAUGUACUUUUAACUAAUGCAAAAUAUUUUAGAAAUAUUACCUAUAAUUUAAGUUCUAAUGUUAAACUUUUUCUCAGUGAGUCUUUUGUAAGAGUUGAAAUUUAAAAAAAAAUCAAAAAGAUAUUUUAAUUUUGGAAAAGAAAAAAUUUGAAAAAGAAAUGGCAGGUUCUCUAGUGAUAGUUUUUGCACUGAUGAUGUUGAUGAUUUUGUUCGUUGUAAUACAAGUAGAAUGAUUAUCAUAGCCUUUUUGUGAAAUAAGGUGUGAUGCAAUAUGUAUCGGAAAUCGUCUAGUUGAGGAUUUUGAUAAGUGUAUAAAACAUUGUAGAGAGACAAAAUGCUAACAAAUAUCUUGCGAUGAUUAAUAGUAUAAAUCAUGGUAUUUUUUAACACUCUCGUUGUCUUUUAUUUUGUCACGUUUUUAACAAAAGAAAUAUAUUUAUUAAUUUAAUUUUUUUUUACUAUUUAGGUUCCUUGGCACGCGGUGCAUGAAUAAAUUGUUUAAAUCAAGGAUGUUGCAACACAAAUAAAUAUAUAACAUGUAUCUUAUGUAUGACUCUACAUAAUAAAUGUCCUUGUCAAAUUGGCAUUGUCUCAAAUUUUAAUAAAUAUAUUCUACUAUAUAAUUUUUUUUAAUUAUCAAUUUUUGCAUUUAUUUUCUAUUUUUUGACUUGUUUAUAUGAUUGUAGACUCAUAAAUUUGGUUGCAUGCUUAUGAUUGUUAUUUGGUCUUGGCCAAUUUGAAAAUUUGAUUUGGCAAAAAAUUAUACGAACUAAUAUUGUAUUACUGACUUUUCAAUUAUUUGGUAUUGAGUACUUCCCAACCUCUAAAACUUUAAACAUUACACCUAUUUUUUUGUUUAUAAAUUUUUCAUUAACUACAUCUAAAACAAUCAAUUUUACAUUGAAUUAUCUACAAUAUUAAUUUUUAACAAUAAUAAAAAAUUGUUUUCAUUAUAAAAUUAAUCAAAAGAAAUGAACUAUAAUAGUAGAUGUGAAUGAGAAAAAGAGAAUAUAAGAGAAAUAUUAUUCUAUUGUUUCAAGUCUUCUCUUAAUUUCACAUUAAUGUUUUCAUCAAUAAGUUCUUCAUAUCUGAUUUAAUUUGCAUCGUGGUGUUGAACAUUAAUUGCAGCCUCAGUUGCAAAAAAAUUUCCACCCUCAUCAUAUUCUUCAUAUUUGUACAUUAAUUGCAGCCUCAGUUGCAAAAAAUUUUCCACCCUCAUCAUAUUUUUCAUUCUCUUCAUCAUCUCUCUUUUAAUUUAGAGAAACCUUCUCUUGAAUUAAAAUCGAUCAAUGUUGUGACCCAUACACAUGCAAAGACUACCAAACCAAGAUAAGUUCUCAUACACUAGUUGCACACAAAAUAUUAAAAAUCUUCUCUCUCCACAACUAUCAUGGCAUGCAGUUGCUCGUCAUCUAUAAAUCAAGUAGAGUGCAGGAAAAAUGCCCUUGUUUCUCUAUUCUUUACAAGCUUUAUCAAUGGCUUGAUUUAUCAUCUCUUUGACAAUAUUUGUAUUUUCACUCAAGGUAUUGUUAUGUGAAUAAGAAAUUGAAUUUUUUAAUUAUUAUUUGAAAUAUUAAAAAAUUUCAAAAAGUUACUACAUUUAAAUUUAAUUUUCUAUAAGAAACUAUUAAAAAAUAAUUUUAAUUAGGGCUAUUUUAUUAUUAAAUUUUCGUUUUUGAUUUUUACUAAAGUAUCUUAUAUAAUUUUCACUACAUAUAUGCAACGCAAUAAAAACUACAUUUUAAACAAACUAAAAUAACAAAUCUUCUAUAUAUACUUUUUCUUACAGUGUUAUUGAUUUUUAAAAUAUAUUUUUGGUUUAAUUUUUCUAAAUAUUAAAUAUUUUUGUAGAGAUAUUUAUAUGAGUGUUAUAGAAAAUUAUUUUAAUAAUAUUUGUGUUUGUUUUAGAAUUUUUUUUAAAUGAUUUAUUAAGAAUUACAUAUAUCUGGUAUAGAAAUAAUUGUUUUAAAAAAACAUCAACUAAAAAAUAGUUUAAGUUUAUUCUCACUAAAGUUAUUCUAUUCCUUUUUUAUUAAUUUUCCAAAAUAACUAAAAUUGAUAUUAUAUUGAAUAAGUUUGAAUGAACUCUUUAUUGAGAAAUACUUUUCUUUUUGUAAAUUAUAUGAUUUUAUUAUUUUAAAAUAUUUUUAAAAGAAUAUUGGAAAAAUAAAAAGGUAUAGAUUCCUUAUUGAAAGAUUUUGUUUAAUUUUAUAAAAGACAUAUUCUUUAAUUAACAUCAAGAUUCGAGUUUAACCGUUGGUCGCAU